rnacentral:rRNA from 1 species
GAUGAACGCUAGCGACAGGCCUAACACAUGCAAGUCGAGGGGCAUCGGGGCGUAGCAAUACGCUGCCGGCGACCAGCGGAUGGGUGAGUAACGCGUAUGCAACCUGCCUUCAGCAGGGGGAUAGCCCGUUGAAAGACGGAUUAAUACCCCGUAACACAGGGGCUCCGCAUGGAGAUUAUUGUUAAAGGGAUACUUCCUUCGGGGGGUAUUCCGGCUGAAGAUGGGCAUGCGUUCCAUUAGGUAGUUGGUUGAGGUAACGGCUCACCAAGCCUACGAUGGAUAGGGGAACUGAGAGGUUGGUCCCCCACACUGGUACUGAGACACGGACCAGACUCCUACGGGAGGCAGCAGUGAGGAAUCUUGGUCAAUGGACGGAAGUCUGAACCAGCCAUGUCGCGUGAAGGAGGACGGCCCUAAGGGUUGUAAACUUCUUUUGCAGCGGAAUAAAGUAUUCCACGAGAUGGGAUAUUGCAAGUACGCUGCGAAUAAGGAUCGGCUAACUCCGUG